GAUGAAGAACGUAGCAAAAUGCGAUACUUGGUGUGAAUUGCAGAAUCCCGUGAACCAUCGAGUCUUUGAACGCAAGUUGCGCCCGAAGCCAUUAGGCCGAGGGCACGCCUGCCUGGGCGUCACACGUCGUUGCCCCCCCCAUCUACUCCUUCGGGAUUGCGGGGGGCGGAUGAUGGCCUCCCGUGUGCCUCGCCGCGCGGUUGGCAUAAAUGCCAAGUCCUCGGCGACGCACGCCACGACAAUCGGUGGUUGCGAAACCUCGGUUGCCCGUCGUGUGCGGUCGUCGCGCAUCGAGGGCUCGAAAAAAUUGCCGGGUUCCGGCUCGGCUUUCAACGCGACCCCAGGUCAGGCGGGGUUACCCGCUGAAUUUAAGCAUAUCAAUAAGCGGAGGA
rnacentral:misc_RNA from 1 species